UACGUAGGGUGCGAGCGUUGUCCGGAAUUAUUGGGCGUAAAGAGCUCGUAGGUGGCCUGUCGCGUCGGCUGUGAAAACUCGGGGCUCAACUCCGAGCUUGCAGUCGAUACGGGCAGGCUAGAGUUCGGCAGGGGAGACUGGAAUUCCUGGUGUAGCGGUGAAAUGCGCAGAUAUCAGGAGGAACACCGGUGGCGAAGGCGGCCAACUGGACGAAUACUGACGCUGAGACUCGAAAGCGUGGGGAGCAAACAGG
rnacentral:rRNA from 1 species